rnacentral:tRNA from 1 species
GGACGUUUAGCUCAGCUGGCUAGAGCGUUCGCUUGACGUGCGAAAGGUCAUAGGUUCGAGUCCUAUAACGUCCACCA